UACGGAGGGGGCAAGCGUUAUCCGGAUUCACUGGGUUUAAAGGGUGCGUAGGCGGAAUUAUAAGUCAGUGGUGAAAGCCCCGAGCUCAACUUGGGAACUGCCAUUGAUACUGUUUUUCUUGAGUGUGGUUGAAGAGGGCGGAAUAUGACAUGUAGCGGUGAAAUGCUUAGAUAUGUCAUAGAACACCGAUUGCGAAGGCAGCUCACUAAACCAUUACUGACGCUGAGGCACGAAAGCGUGGGGAGCGAACAGG
rnacentral:rRNA from 1 species